rnacentral:rRNA from 1 species
CCUACGGGGCGCAGCAGUCGGGAAUAUUUCGCAAUGGAGGAAACUCUGACGCAGUGACGCCGCGUGCAGGAAGAAGGCUUUCGGAUUGUAAACUGCUUUAGACAGGGAAGAAACAAGACAGUACCUGUAAAAUAAGCUCCGGCUAACUACGUGCCAGCAGCCGCGGUAAUACGUAGGGAGCAAGCGUUAUCCGGAUUUAUUGGGUGUAAAGGGUGCGUAGACGGGAAGGCAAGUUAGUUGUGAAAUCCCUCGGCUUAACUGAGGAACUGCAACUAAAACUAUCUUUCUUGAGUGCUGGAGAGGAA